rnacentral:rRNA from 1 species
AUGAAGGCACAUGAAGGAAGGAUGCUAGCCCGACAACAAAAUCUCAAAUGGUCAAGACCACCUGUUGGAAUUCUCAAGAUCAACACAGAUGCAGCCUUUCAUGGUAACUCCAAUGAUGGAGGAUGGGGCAUGGUUAUUAGAAAUGAUAAGGGUGAAGCUCUAGCUGCAGGUGCAGGCAAACUAGAAUGGGUGGCUGAUGCUUUCCAAGCUGAAGCAAUGGCUAUGUUAUAUGCUAUAAAUAUUGCUAGCCAAAUGGGUUGUGACAAAGUAAUGUUAGAGACAGAUUCAGUUCAGUUAAGGAAGGCUGUAUCUACUGAAGAACAUGAUUUGUCUGCAAUAGGGAAUGAUUGCUAG